GGAGCCCCACGCCUUGGAGCUCAACACUGCCCACUCAGCGAGGAAGCAGCCACGACGCCCACACUUCCUGCUGGAGCCUGCGCAGAGCCAGAGGCCUCAGAAGCCACAGGAACAUGGCCUAGGCAUGGCUCAGCCAGCAGCCCCCUCCCUGACGCGGCCCUUCCUGGCAGAGGCCCCGACAGCACUGGUCCCACACAGCCCCCUGCCAAGCACCCCUGGCCUGAAGCAGCCCCCGACGGCAAGCACAGGCCCGGAGCUGCUGCUGCUGCCUCCUUCCUCCUUCAUGUCCUGCGGGGCGGCUGCACCAGCCAGGUUGUCAGCACAGCCGGCUACUCCUAGGGAUAAGCCCCCGGUCCCCUCAUCCCUGGCCAGUGUCCCUGACCCCCAUCUACUCCUUCCUGGGGACUUCUCAGCCACCAGGGCUGGGCCUGGACUUUCAACUGCAGAAAGAGCUGGAACAGGUGGAAAUGCAGAUCCAGCUGCUGGCAGAGGAGCUCCAGGCUCAGCGCCAGCCCAUUGGCACCUGCGUUGCCCGCAUCCAGGCCCUGCGGCAGGCCCUGUGCUAGCGUGUUCGCCCCAGGAACGCAGGUGCUGGGCUGUCGGGGAGGCCUCAGGCCACAUCCAGAACAGAACACAAAGUUUUAAGUUUGAUUUUUUUAUUUCAAAAUGUUUUGCAAUUAAAUGAAUUACUGUUCA
rnacentral:sRNA from 1 species